ACAGAAGCCGAGAACAACUGUGGGGAACGAGGUAUGUUCUGACGAGAAGGAUCGUGGAGGCAGAGGCUGAGCUGCAGACAGGAGAUUCUCAGCCGUACUGAGAUUCCAUGCUUUCAGGAGUCUUGUCUGUGUCAGGCUGGGCUUCUCAGUGCUGCUGCUUCUGAGACAUCCUGGCUCCUCUCUCCCACCACCAAGCCUGUAAGAACUUUUCACCACCGCUGAGACCACAGGAACGAGGACUCCAGCCUGCACCCAUUCCCUAUGGCUGCCCUGACAAAUUUCCACAGAUGUAAUGGCUUCAGCCAUAGUACACAUCUCAUGAUAUCACUCUGGGCAUGAGACAUUCCGAAGUCAGGAUGCAGGGCAGUCAGUGUUCCUUCAGUUUCUGUGCCUUUACCAUCCGGACUUCCACCUCCACAGUGCAAUCUUCUCUUCUACCCCCAUGGACUCUGUGAGCCCCAGGAUCCUGACACCAUACACAGCAAGAUCUGUGACAGGACAGGAGCUAUAAGUAAGGUCAUGUUUUCAGGUUCCCGGGAGCAGAAUGUGGGCCACUUAGUGACCCUUUGUUCUUCCUCUCAGUUGAAAAAACUGCUCAGUAAAACAAAUUUCAAGGG
rnacentral:lncRNA from 1 species